rnacentral:ncRNA from 1 species
CUUCUCUAAGGGCAAACCUUCCGCGAGGGAGGGACGCAAAGCGACAGCACUGCCACUGCAGUGGGCUGCGCCACUGAG